GUCUACGGCCAUGCUACCCUGAACAAGCCCGAUCCCGUCUGAUCUCAGAGGCUAAGCAGGGUCGGGGCUGGUUAGUAUUUGGAUGGGAGACCACCUAGGAAGACCAGGUGCUGUAGGGG
rnacentral:rRNA from 1 species